GAUUUCUGGCUUGAAACAUUUUGCCGGCCACGGUUUCGUGUGUUAGUGCUUGAUGUUCUGGCCAUCCUUUCAAUCGCUAUUGGCUAUUCUUCACUGAAUGGUCAGUAGUAUUGAAUCUUUUACUUUGAAAAAAUUAGAGUGUUUCAAGCAGGCUUUAUGCUAUGAAUACAUUAGCAUGGAAUAAUAAUUUAGGACUUCGGUUCUAUUUUGUUGGUUUCUAGGACUGAAGUAAUGAUUGAUAGGGAUAGUUGGGGGUGCUAGUAUUCAGCGGCCAGAGGUGAAAUUCUCGGAUUCGCUGAAGACUAACUUAUGCGAAAGCAUU
rnacentral:rRNA from 1 species